CCAUUAGCCAUAUAUUCAUACACAAGACAGCCAUACUCCGGGCAGGCACCUAGAAGCAGAACCAUGUUUGGAUGCCUAAUGCAGCUCAGUAUUUCAACCUGUGCAAUCAAAGGCUGUGAGUGUCAGAAGCUACGUCGCUUGUCGCUGCAAGAGUUUGCUAUUCUAUUCAAUGAGGUACCUGAUAAAAGGGGGAAGGAGAGGGAAAAAGAGCAGUUGGGAGUCAAAAUGCACCUUCUGAACCAAGCAAGAAGUGAUGAGACAUUGCAUUAGGCUUGAGGCUCACUUGGCUUUGAAUUUGAUCACGAAGAGGAGAAACAAUUGGAGCUAGUCGUGUGGCAUUCUUCAUGGCUGAUACUUUCCCUUUGGCUAUUACAUAAACGGUGCAGAAAUCAGGUGCCCCCUUUGUGAUAUUGGCGGUGAUAUCGUGAUGUUUGAAUCUCCUGAGGAGGAACAAGAGUAAGGCCGGCACAAGAAACAGCGAAACGGAAGGAAGAGUUCUUUUGUAUGAUGAUCCAUUGGUUCUAUGCAACCACCGGCAUUCUUUCGGCUCGAAGCUGUACUACAUGAAAAAUUUGCCGGAUCAAGAAAAUGAAUGCAUGCUUGAGAAUCAAAGGUGGGGAGGAAGAUGUGUUACUAACUUGAGUGGCUCCUAACGUUGACGUGGAUGAGGGUGAGGGUGUGGCCUCUGGUGACAAGGUUUUCUGCUGCCCAUUUCAGAGCAUUCUGGCUUCCUUUGUCCUUGUCAAUGGCCACUGCCACCAAUGGAGAUGCCGCAUCGACAUGCAUGUGUUCUAGACGCCCACUGCUCCUUUUUCAGACUGCCGGAAAGGAAGAAGAAGAAGAAGAAUGGUUGAUCCUUUUUCUCAGCUACAAUUUGCUCUCUCCCUUCAAAUGGUGAACUCCUCAGCCGUGGGGCUCUCCAUCGUUUCAGGUAUGCUCUCCAAUUUUUCUCCUUCCUCGGAGACAAUUGACCACUCUUCCUUCUCCCCUAUUCUUGGGGGUUGGUAUACUCUAGGCUAUGCAACAAGUUCCAUACCCGAUUGCGACUUACCCACCCGGUUACCUCGUGGACGGUGGAGUUCACGUGGGACCCGUGACAUCAUUGCUUCCAACGACCAUUCAGAGUAAGUAAGGUGGGAGAAGUCUAUUUUGUUGUCCUAAAAACUGAGGUGGGGGGAUUAUACGGGUACGAGCUUGAACCGGGUUUGUUGCGGCGCAUUGCAUAUGGAUCGAACCGGACCUACGGGUUUUAAUGAGUACGUAUUCUGUCAUUUAAAGAAUUUCAAAAUCACCUUUGCUAAAUUUAAGACAUUUAAAGGAAAAAAAUAAUAUCUCAAGUUCUUUGAUCGAUUAAUUAUCGUGGACGAGUGCCUUUCUUUCGUGAUGGAAUAAGCUGUGUCAACACAUCAGAAUUCAUGGACAGCAACAGCAAGGCGAAAUAUGGAAUCAGAUUCAACCUGUUCGACGUUAAAUCCCGAUGAACCUAAACAGCAGACACCCAUAGAAUAUUAGGCUAUAUGCAUUUAGGAGGUUAUGUCGCCACAUUAUUAUCAUAUCGAGAAGCAAGAAGGAUAACAAGGAACCGGAAAGACUAGAUAAGAGCGGGAUACUGCUUGGCUUGCUGUCGAACACGUCUUCUGUACUCCGAUAGAUCCUG